UGUUUUCUUGACCUAUAUAAUCCUGAUGUAGAUUAUGAUGAUGCCGACGAGAAAGAUUAGGAGCUGGCUAGGUUUGUGUGAAGUUACAAUUGAUUAGUUAUGAUGAUGUUUUAAUUUGUAUUUUGGAUGGAUUAGUAUUAAUUAUUAUGAUGUUUUGUAUUUUGGAUUUCAAUGGUUAUACUUUAAUGACAUUAUUACUAUAUAUAUAUGUUGAAUGUUGAAUGUUGAAUUUGGC
rnacentral:lncRNA from 1 species